rnacentral:rRNA from 1 species
CCUAAGACAUGCAAGUCGAACGAGACGGCCCAAUGAAAAUGGAGUGCUUGCAACAAAGUUGGGAUUUGGUUUCCCGUCUAGUGGCGCAAGGGUGAGUAACACGUGGGUAAUCUACCUUCGAGUCUGGAAUAACAGUUAGAAAUGAUUGCUAAUGCCGGAUGAUAUAUAAGAAGAUAUACUUCAUAUAUUAAAAGGUGCCUCAAAGCAUCGCUUGAAGAUGAGCCUGCGCCGUAUUAGCUAGUUGGUGGGGUAACGGCCUACCAAGGCAACGAUGCGUAGCCGACCUGAGAGGGUGAUCGGCCACACUGGGACUGAGACACGGCCCAGACUCCUACGGGAGACAGCAGUUAGGAAUAUUCGUCAAUGGGGGAAACCCUGAACGAGCAAUGCCGCGUGAAGGAUGACGGUCCUAUGGAUUGUAAACUUCUGUUGUUAGGGAAGAACGACCUGUGUAGGAAAUGACACAGGAGUGACGGUACCUUUCAAGAAAGCUCCGGCUAACUACGUG